rnacentral:lncRNA from 1 species
UGUGUGUGUGUGUGUAUGAACUCAGCCCUAACUCAGGGUCAGGCAGGGAAAAGAGCCUUCCCUCUGGACAGGAGCUAGGGAGCUUUGCAUGGUUAUGAUUGGACCUUGUUAUAUUCUCACCAAGACCUCUCGAUAAUCCCAAAAUGCAGAAGACUGAGGUUGAGGAAAGCCAACUGAGCCUUUCCCCAUCAAACUACUCCUGGGCACUCUUCUGGCUCGGACACUGAUGACAGCUUGAGGAAGGAAGCUAAGGCACCAGCAGCAUCGGGGAGAUACAGGGCCCCUUCAUCCCUAAGAUCUUCCCCCAUUCCUGUCAGUAGGAAAACCUCUGCAUUCUCAGGCACUUGCUCAUUGCCAGAAUUCUUCUCCAGCAGCUUGUCACCUUGAGCAGAGGGGGUUGUGGUGAGGUCUCCAGACCCAUUUGGUCUAAGCCUCUAUAGGACUCUGACUCAGUGGUCACACAGGUACUCUCUGGCCAUGGUUAAUCCCUAGGCUACUCUCCUCCCUCUUAUGCUUGACUGCCAGUUUGGCCUUUGCCUCUUGGAAACUCCUGAAGACCAGAAACUGGCACCCAGAGAGUCAGUGCCUUCUCAUCCUGUCCGAUGGUUCACCCAAAAGAUAAAGGGAGCCCCCCCCCCUUGGCUUUCUGCCUGGAAUGCAGGCCUACCAGUCAUCAGGCAGAGGCGUGCAUCUGGACUUAUGUCUCGUUCCGUGUGUGUGACACUGAAACCAGCAUCUCCAUCUGAAAAUUAGGUGCGACUAUGAAACCAAGCACUGGACUCAGGCCCCACUGUGCAGGCCACAUCUCACCUGUCUGUAAUGCAUCAGGCUCCUGGUUACUGCCCAAACCUUGGUGCCAGCUUAAAGGGCUGCCCUGAGGCCACCCUUGAAAGCAUAGCGAGGCUUUGUCAGACCCAGAGUUCUCUGGAUAGAGAAGGACGAUGGGGACGAUGGAGGGGAGGGUCCAGGGGACUGUGGAGGGCAGAUGGACUUGGUGGCUGCUGAGACUGGUAUACCUGCAGUGACACUCCCAGGGCCUCCCUCCCUGCCAUCUCCAGCUCCAUAUGCCAGGACCACUGGGACAGAGCAGGGAGAGGGAACACAAGCAUCUGGAAGGCAAGCCCGAGGCUGCUGGGCAAGAGGGCCACAUGGCAGUCAUCUGGAGAACAGGUGGGUCAUCGAAGCACUGGCCGGCUGACUGGAAUGAAGAGGUUGAAGCAUGAAGAAGGAAAUCAAUUUAACAUCCGCUCCGCAGCCUUCACUGAGCUCUCUGGUUCUCUGUAACUGCCCCAAGGAGACAGUACUGAGGUUUAUCUGCCCUCGCUUCAUAAGCACACUGAAACUAGUGAAGAGGAGCUCACCUGACCUGAUGGCUGGACAUCUGAACCCAACACCAUCCGGCAUCAAGUCUCUUUUUACUAUUUCUUGCUGUUCUGAAUUUAGGGCUAGUGGGAUCUGAU